AAAACCAACACAACCACGAGUUAGCAGCUAGCUUCAAAUGGCGAGGCCUUCCUACAGUCAUCACGAGUAACCAUGCCUGCUGCCUUAAGAGUUGUUAAAUCACUGAAUCCUCCAUCUGACCAGUCGGUUGAGUGUGUGCCUUCAGUUGAUUCACAUCAGCCCGAUCUUUAUCCCGAGGAGAAGCAGAAUGACAUCAUUCACAGUAUCAAACAGCUAAAUGACAGAGUUGGUGC